rnacentral:siRNA from 1 species
AGGUGUCAAGCUGUGGUUAACUGA